AUUGAACGCUGGCGGCAGGCCUAACACAUGCAAGUCGAACGAGUGGCGGACGGGUGAGUAAUGUCUGGGACACUGCCCGAUGGAGGGGGAUAACUACUGGAAACGGUAGCUAAUACCGCAUACCAUCGGAUGUGCCCAGAUGGGAUGAGUUAGUAGGUUGGGUAACGGCUCACUUAGGCGACGAUCCCUAGCUGGUCUGAGAGGAUGACCAGCCACACUGUAACUGAUACACGUCCAAGACUCCUCCGGGAGGCAGCAGUGGUGAAUAUUGCACAAUGGGCGCAAGCCUGAUGCAGCCAUGCCGCGUGUAUGAAGAAGGCCUUAGGGUUGUAAAGUACUUUCAGCGGGGAGGCGUUACCCGCAGAAGAAGCACCGGCUAACUCCGUGCCAGCCGCCGCGGUAAUAC
rnacentral:rRNA from 1 species